GACGAACGCUGGCGGCGUGCUUAACACAUGCAAGUCGAACGGAAAGGCCCUGCUUUGGUGGGGUGCUCGAGUGGCGAACGGGUGAGUAACACGUGAGUAACCUGCCCUGGACUUUGGGAUAACUUCAGGAAACUGGGGCUAAUACCGGAUAGGAGCUCCUGCUGCAUGGUGGGGGGGGGAAAGUUUCGGCGGGGGGGGAUGGACUCGCGGCUUAUCAGCUUGUUGGUGGGGUAGUGGCCUACCAAGGCUUUGACGGGUAGCCGGCCUGAGAGGGUGACCGGCCACAUUGGGACUGAGAUACGGCCCAGACUCCUACGGGAGGCAGCAGUGGGGAAUAUUGCACAAUGGGCGGAAGCCUGAUGCAGCAACGCCGCGUGCGGGAUGACGGCCUUCGGGUUGUAAACCGCUUUCGCCUGUGACGAAGCGUGAGUGACGGUAAUGGGUAAAGAAGCACCGGCUAACUACGUG
rnacentral:rRNA from 1 species